GCCCUUGAAGGGGACGUGGAACCGUGUGUCGAGAAAGACGAGACAAGCGGGAUGCUCGAGAGACAGUGAUAGUUAAAGUUCUUGGUUUUAGAAUUUACAGCCAAGUUUUGUGCCAUGGUUUUUUGAUAAGAGAGACCAUUCGGAGUGGGUGAUUAGUGUGAAAAGACAGUAGUUCAAAAGUGGAGCCGUGGACUGUGCGUUUGGCGCUAACGACUAGCAUAUCGAGCUUGAAGCAAAACAACCUGCCUAAAAGACUACGCUGGAUGUCGCCCACACGGGGGGAAUCACGGAGCUCGCAGUGUAUCGUGUCCGAACUGGACAAUGAGACAGACGGACACCAGAUAGCACUCUGAGUGGGUACGUGGGAGACGGAGAAGAGAGGUUUUGGACCGGAAGGUACCACGCACCUGCUCCGCCUUUGAAGUCAGGCUGAAACCUGGGAGCUUUGUUGACACCAGUGUUAAUUUUGUUGACGAAAAAUUUUCGUCAUAGUUAUUCGUCAACGACCUUUUUUUUCUGACUAAAACGAGACAAUAACUAAAUAACAAAUAAUUUACGUGGACUAAAACGAUGACGAGGUGUAUUGACAUAUUCGUCAACGAAUAAAAACGAGACGAAAAUGUCUGCCAGAGACGAGAUCCAAUCGGAACUCAUUUCGUUAAGAAGAGGCGGGAGGAGUUGGGAAGAGAACCAAUCAGAGCGACGUGGUAAGGAAGUUACGUAAACGUAGUUUGCGUUUGAGACUGACCCGGGAAUGCGCUGCAGAAGACAACAUGUCAACGCCGGGGAGGAAGAGGAGAGAGGACAUAUGGGGACAUUUUAUAUUUGACGUCAAAGAUAACAAGACGUAGUGUAAGAAAUGCAGCGCGAGGAUUACGGGGAAAAACACAACAAACUUGAAGCAACAUUUACAGUCGAAUCACCCCCAAAUCCACACACAGGUAAGCAUUUUCCACAACAUACAACUCACUCGACGUUAUCCCGUGUAUUACACGGCUUACUCGUGAAAUACUAAAUUUGAGACAUGAUUUUCAUCAAAAUACGACUUGUAUCGGUGAUUUUUCCGCUGUUUUGCUCUGACUUUCAGUAAUUGAAGGGAAAGUUUACAUAUCUUUAGUCGACUAAAUCUACUGUAGUUUUCGUCGACUAUAAUCUUAUAUUUCGUCAACUAAAACUAAAACAAUUUAAAUAACUAAAUUAUGACUAAAACCAAAUUACAUUUUAGUCAAAAGACUAUGACUAAAACUAAAUCAAAUGUUGCUGUCAAAAUUAACACUGCUGGACACAAGGUACCUUUCUUUGUUUUAUUCUGCUCGAAGAGUGACGCGACCGAUAAGUUUUUAGUGCCAUUAAUUGAUUAACGUGGACCCCGACCUAAACAAGUUGAAAAACUUAUUCGGGUGUUACCAUUUAGUGUUCAAUUGUACGGAAUAUGUACUGAACUGUGCAAUCUACUAAUAAACGUAUCAAUCAAUCAAUCAAUAAGAAAUGCAGCGCGAGGAUUACGGGGAAAAACACAACAAACUUGAAGCGACAUUUACAGUCGAAUCACCCCCAAAUCCACACACAGGGUCCUCCAGGUACUCACGACAGAGAUUAAGGACACAGUGACGAGGAUUGAUGAGGCCUUUUGAAAAGACAGAAUGCAAAUGACUUCCUUUUUCUAACCAGCUUAAUUGCAGCUGUUAUCUGAUGGUAAGGGUGCUGUGGUCAAGUACUGCACUAAGAUGUGUUUAAACGUAAACGUCCUUCUCAAGUAGGGUUAGAAUAUCAUCCCUUAUUUUUAUUGUUUUAUUUUAAAAAUACUUAUAUUACUCAUGUGUUGAUUAGUUUUGGAUAUGUUAAACAUUCAGUAACAUCACGUGGUUACAUUUGCACAAUCCUGCAUGUCCCAAAAAGAGUAGGAAGAAGCAGAAAUUAUUUGUAUUAUGAUUUAUUAUUUAAUCAUAUCCCUUUUGCUUGUUCACUUUCUGUUUUAAUGUUAUCGUGUAACAAACAAGUAAUAGUCAUAGGUUAAGGACGUAUGUAGUAGUGAAGCAAAAAAAAAAAGAAAGGGCCAAAUGUUAAAAUAAUAAAAUGUAAAGGGGAAAAAAUAAAUACAGUAAAAUUAAUUAAAAAUAAAACCAUUAUAAAUAAAUGACUACAGUGUUUUUCGGGCCAUAAGGGGCACAAGAUUAUAAGGCACACUAGAGGUUCAUAUUAUGAUUUUUCCUACGUUUAAAACACUUCCUUGUAGUUUACAUAACAUGUAAUGGUGGUUCUUUAGUCAAAAUGUUGCAUAGAUAACCAGAAUAAGCACAACCAGAAUUAAUAAAUAUAUAUAAGGCGCAACGGGUUGUAAGGAGCAUUGUUGAUUUUCAAGAAAAUGAAAGGAUUGUUAUAAAAAUUUUAUACAUACAUAUAUUUUUUAUAUAUUUCUGUGUGUAUGUGUCCGCCUUAAUGGAUUUGGCACUAAUUAUUGUGAACUGCCUAACACACAGCGAUAUGGACAUAAAUAAAUACAGUUCCGCCAGGGCGCUAAUUAAUUCAAAAUCUCUUCUCACUCCUGUGCUUACCAAAGGCAUGCGGAAAAAGUAAGCAUGCGCUAAUUAUUUUAAAACCUCUUCUCACUCCGGCACUUACCAAAGGCAUGCAGUAAAAAUUUGAGUGUGAUGUAAGCUUGGACCUUAAUGACAGGGGAAGUGUCACUCGUGAUGUCACGAGUUUGACCAGCAUGCGCUAAUUAUUUUGCAAAGCGAGUUUGACCCGGCAGUAAUUCAAGGCAGGCGCAUACUAUAUACCCUGCUGCAAUUCAAGGAAAUACGGUGUGUGUGUGUGUGUGUAUAUGUAUAUAUAUAUAUAUAUAUAUAUAUAUAUAUAUAUAUAUAUAUAUAUAUAUAUAUAUGUGUAUAUGUAUAUAUGUAUGUAUUUUUUUUUCAUUUAUUCAUUUAUUUUAGGCAAUGAGAUUAAAAUAAAAAAGUACAACGUUGACAACACGUAAUAAUAGAAAUGUAAAUAAUGCAAAAGGUAAUGUACAGUAUAUAAGCAUGAUUGUCCAGUUUUGCCUUAAAGGAAGUGGGAAGAAGAUAAUGUAUUUAAUUCCACCCCCAGUUCUCCAUUGAGUGAUUAUUCCAUUGAGUUUGACUAUUACUUUGUUUAAGGAUUAUACAAAUGUUGUAUCAUAGUGGCAUUACCAAAGGUAACAGUUAUUACACUAUAACAAUAUUUGUAUCAACAAUGUAGGAAGAAUGAACAUACCAACAAUGGUAAUAAGACAACAUAGCAACAAUGGUAAUAGACAUCAUAGCCAUAA